GGUCCCAUGGUGUAAUGGUUAGCACUCUGGACUCUAGAAUCCAGCGAUCCGAGUUCAAAUCUCGGUGGGACCU
rnacentral:tRNA from 2 species